CUCAGUUCGGAUUGGAGUCUGNAACCCGACUCCAUGAAGCUGGAUUUGCUAGUAAUCGCGCAUCAGCCACGGCGCGGUGAAUACGUUCCCGGGCCUUGUACACACCGCCCGUCAAGCCAUGGGAGCCGGGGGUACCUGAAGUGCGUGACCGCAAGGAGCGCCCUAAGGUAAAACCGGUGACUGGGGCUAAGUCGUAACAAGGUAUC
rnacentral:rRNA from 1 species